rnacentral:rRNA from 1 species
ACGAAGGGGGCUAGCGUUGCUCGGAAUUACUGGGCGUAAAGGGCGCGUAGGCGGAUCGUUAAGUUAGAGGUGAAAGCCCAGGGCUCAACCUUGGAACUGCCUUUGGUACUGGCGAUCUGGAGUACGGGAGAGGUGUGUGGAACUCCGAGUGUAGAGGUGAAAUUCGUAGAUAUUCGGAAGAACACCAGUGGCGAAGGCGACACACUGGCCCGUUACUGACGCUGAGGCGCGAAAGCGUGGGGAGCAAACAGGAUUAGAUACCCUGGUAGUCCACGCCGUAAACGAUGAGUGCUAGUUGUCGGCAUGCAUGCAUGUCGGUGACGCAGCUAACGCAUUAAGCACUCCGCCUGGGGAGUACGGUCGCAAGAUUA